GCGCGGUUAGCUCAGCUGGCUAGAGCACAUGCUUGACGUGCAUGGGGUCACAGGUUCAAGUCCUGUACCGCGCACCA
rnacentral:tRNA from 1 species